GGAGCACCUUUCUCAAGGACAAGAAAUGGUAGCAACCAAAAGGUUGGUUGAAGGAAACAAUCCUUCCUUCUGGUGGUGUGAUCCUGGCUUCCUCACAGAGCCCUUUUUUCCUUCUGCCCAGCUCCAUCCCACCAGAAUUUCUACACCCACUGAGGCAUCUCCUGGGCACAGACCACCACACUCUAAGCCGGCUCACCUGGGAGUUAGGGUCCUGCCCACCUGGAGUUUAGCACGCUGGUCGCUCACUUUGCUUUGAUC
rnacentral:sRNA from 1 species